AGAGUUUGAUCAUGGCUCAGGACGAACGCUGGCGGCGUGCUUCAUACAUGCAAGUCGAACGGGAUUCAAUCAGUGGCAACACUGAGGAAGAUCUAGUGGCGAACGGGUGAGUAACACGUGAGGAACCUAUCCCGGUCUCUGGAAUAACAGGUGGAAACACCUGCUAAUACCGGAUACCGCCGACGCCCCUCCUGGGGUGUCGACGAAAGAUUUAUCGGAUCGGGCGGGCCUCGCGGCCUAUCAGCUAGUUGGUGGGGUAACGGCCUACCAAGGCAUCGACGGGUAGCUGUUCUGAGAGGAUGAUCAGCCACACUGGGACUGAGACACGGCCCAGACUCCUACGGGAGGCAGCAGUAGGGAAUCUUGCGCAAUGGGCGAAAGCCUGACGCAGCAACGCCGCGUGCGGGAAGAAGGCUCUCGGGUUGUAAACCGCUUUCAGUAGGAACGAAAAUGACGGUACCUGCAGAAGAAGGUGCGGCCAACUACGUGCCAGCAGCCGCGGUGACACGUAGGCACCAAGCGUUGUCCGGAUUUAUUGGGCGUAAAGAGCUCGUAGGCGGUUCAGUAAGUCGGGUGUGAAAACUCAGGGCUCAACCCUGAGCUGCCACCCGAUACUGCUGUGACUUGAGUCUGGUAGGGGAGUGGGGAAUUCCUGGUGUAGCGGUGAAAUGCGCAGAUAUCAGGAGGAACACCGGUGGCGAAGGCGCCACUCUGGGCCACGACUGACGCUGAGGAGCGAAAGCAUGGGUAGCAAACAGGAUUAGAUACCCUAGUAGUCC
rnacentral:rRNA from 1 species